AAUAAUUCGGUAGGUGAGACUACUAUAGGGAUACGGGUUGCUGCCGCAAGUAAGUGGAGACACUUUUAGAUGGUUAACAAGUCAUGUCGAAAAGCAAGGCAUGAUUUAAUGCAAUUUCAUCGCCCUACAAAGUUGAAGCUUGAACGAUG
rnacentral:sRNA from 1 species